rnacentral:rRNA from 1 species
GGACCCGCACAAGUAGUGGAGCAUGUGGUUUAAUUCGAAGAUACGCGCAGAACCUUACCAACACUUGACAUGUUCGUCGCGACUUUAAGAGAUUAAAGUUUUCGGUUCGGCCGGACGAAACACAGGUGCUGCAUGGCUGUCGUCAGCUCGUGUCGUGAGAUGUUGGGUUAAGUCCCGCAACGAGCGCAACCCUCACUUUUAGUUGCCAUCAUUUAGUUGGGCACUCUGAAAGAACUGCCAGUGAUAAGCUGGAGGAAGGUGGGGAUGACGUCAAGUCCUCAUGGCCCUUACGUGUUGGGCUACACACGUGCUACAAUGGUAUCUACAACAGGAAGCAAAACGGCGACGUUAAGCAAAUCCUUAAAAGAUACCUCAGUUCGGAUUGCACUCUGCAACUCGAGUGCAUGAAGCUGGAAUUACUAGUAAUCGU